rnacentral:misc_RNA from 1 species
CUACAAUUCAGAAUCUCGGAUAGAUAUUUUUGCUCCUACCAGAAGCUGUAAGCAGCAAGCACGUAAUAAUUGCGCACGCCAGAGCGCCAAGCUAAUAUGCCCAUGGCAGCGGAGCUUUUUGGCAAAGGAUCCUUCUUUUUCAUCCAUAGAGAGACCGUUGGUGGCCUUCUAAUGGCUGCGCCAGUCAACUAUCCUCUUCCGCUCAGACCCAUUUCUCAUUUCAGCUGCAGACCUCUGACGUCAAUGUGUCGGUGCACUCUCGAUUCCAAGUCCCCNCCGUUGGAGAACAAGUGUUUUCGGUUACUUCGUCCAGUAAAUACGGGUUUGAUUAUUUGGG